rnacentral:rRNA from 1 species
UACGUAGGGACCAAGCGUUGUUCGGAUUUACUGGGCGUAAAGGGCGCGUAGGCGGCGCGGUAAGUCACUUGUGAAAUCUCUGAGCUUAACUCAGAACGGCCAAGUGAUACUGCAGUGCUAGAGUGUGGAAGGGGCAAUCGGAAUUCUUGGUGUAGCGGUGAAAUGCGUAGAUAUCAAGAGGAACACCUGAGGUGAAGACGGGUUGCUGGGCCAACACGUGACGCUGAUGCGCGAAAGCCAGGGGAGCAAACGGG